rnacentral:lncRNA from 1 species
GGAUGCCAAAAAUAUUAUUGUGCUAUAAAAAACAGUAAGUAUAAGGGAUUCAGAUAAUCAAGCAAAUACAAAUAAACUGAUUCAGAGCAAAGGAGAUAGAAUUAGGACAAUAUUUAUAAUAAGAUAGAUAGUCAGUUUGUUUAAUAUGGAGCUCACUGCUUCCCCUACCAAAUGACCAAGGGUAACAAUCUUUGAUUGUCAGCCUCUGCUAUCAUAACUGGAAAGAUUUUCUGUUUUAUUUCUAGCUGCUCUUUUUGCCACUCUCUUUCUGAUGUACUUUUUUUUUUUAGUGUUAAUGAUGCCAUAAUCUGAACUGGUGAAAGAAGAGGAUUUUCCUUUCCCUGCUCUCCUUUUUUCUUAACCCCAAUUACAAGAAAUAGUCGUGGAGUAUAUGAAUUAAUUCCAUGUUGUUUAUCCUUCUCAGGUUCAGGAGCAGAAGUUAUCUUUACAUGAGCUUGGGAAUUUCUGCAGCUGGAAUUAUAGGUAGGAGGGUGCAAUAAGUCUGUGACACAUUGAAAGAACCUGAGAAUGUGCAAUUUUCAACAACUAUGGGCUUCUAACCUCUAUAACGUGGAAUACAGAAAAGGAAGAUUGCAUGAUUUAUCUUUCCUUCAAGAGGGAAGUGAAAGAGAAUGGACUUUUAAAGAGGAAAAGAAUUUGAAGAAACAAUUUCUUCUCUGGAUGGAGAGAGCAUUCUUUCUCAUAAGUUCCUCUGGAUUGUCCUGGAUCAUUACAUUGCUGCUGAUGAUGCAUAAUAAAUGUUGGGAGUCAUCAAGGCCAAGCUGUCUGACAUGGUCAAAGGUGGAAACUGGAGAUUGCAAAGCAUCCCCAAGGAAGAAUGGAAACACCCUCUCAGAACCAUCCUUAGUGACUUUCCUUGUUAAUAUUCCAUUAUUAUUGGCAUUGCUCUGAUUAUUAUUCUUACUUCUACCCAGGAAAAAUAGAUGAGAGCAACAUGCUUGCAGGGUUAAUACAGAUGCCCCACUCUGUCCCCCCAGUAUAUAGCCAAGAGAUUUUACUCACAAAAUUAAACCUAAGUAUUCUCAUGUACCCACUUAGAUUAGGACUCUCCAUUCUAGGCACAAACCUUCUGGCAAAACUAUGAUCAGAAUUCCCCAACCUAAAACUGGGCCAUGUUGAUUCUACCCUCUGACCCCACGCUUAGCAACAGUGUUUUGUUGACUAUCUCCUUAGGCUUCAAGUCUGUUGUUAGGCUCUAUGGAAACAUGUAUGUUGAAAAUGAAACUGUGCCAAGUAGAUAUGUAACCAUGAAGGUAUAAAAUAAAACCAAGCCUCAGUCAAGGUGGAACA